rnacentral:rRNA from 1 species
GGUGACUAUGGCAAAGAGGUCCCACCUGUUCUCAUACCGAACACAGAAGUUAAGCUCUUUAGCGCAGGAAGUACUUGGCUGGACACGGCCCGGGAGAUAAUGACGUUGCC